rnacentral:rRNA from 1 species
CCCGCUGAACUUAAGCAUAUCAAUAAGCGGAGGAAAAGAAACUAACAAGGAUUCCCCUAGUAACGGCGAGUGAAGCGGGAAGAGCUCAAAUUUGAAAUCUGGUCGUCUUUGGCGGCCCGAGUUGUAGUUUAGAGAAGCGUUUUCUGUGCCGGACCACGUACAAGUCCCUUGGAAUGGAGCGUCAUAGAGGGUGAGAAUCCCGUCUUUGACACGGACUACCAGGGCUUAUGUGAUGUGCUCUCGAAGAGUCGAGUUGUUUGGGAAUGCAGCUCAAAAUGGGUGGUAAAUUCCAUCUAAAGCUAAAUAUUGGCGAGAGACCGAUAGCGAACAAGUACCGUGAGGGAAAGAUGAAAAGAACUUUGGAAAGAGAGUUAAACAGUACGUGAAAUUGUUGAAAGGGAAACGCUUGAAGUCAGUCGCGUCGUCCGGGGAUCAACCUUGCAAAUUUUGCUAGGGUGCAUUUUCCGGUUGAUGGGUCAACAUCAAUUUCGACCGUUGGAUAAAGGCUUAGGGAAUGUGGCAUCUUCGGAUGUGUUAUAGCCCUUGGUCGCAUACAACGGUUGGGAUUGAGGAACUCAGCACGCCGAAAGGCCGGGUUUUAUUACCACGUUCGUGCUUAGGAUGUUGGCAUAAUGGCUUUAAUCGACCCGUCUUGAAACACGG